rnacentral:tRNA from 1 species
GCACCCAUAGCUCAACUGGAUAGAGCGUCUGGCUACGGACCAGGAGGUUUGGGGUUCGAAUCCCUAUGGGUGUA